rnacentral:rRNA from 1 species
UUGGGUUAAGUCCCGCAACGAGCGCAACCCUUAUCCUUUGUUGCCAGCGGUCCGGCCGGGAACUCAAAGGAGACUGCCAGUGAUAAACUGGAGGAAGGUGGGGAUGACGUCAAGUCAUCAUGGCCCUUACGACCAGGGCUACACACGUGCUACAAUGGCGCAUACAAAGAGAAGCGACCUCGCGAGAGCAAGCGGACCUCAUAAAGUGCGUCGUAGUCCGGAUUGGAGUCUGCAACUCGACUCCAUGAAGUCGGAAUCGCUAGUAAUCGUGGAUCAGAAUGCCACGGUGAAUACGUUCCCGGGCCUUGUACACACCGCCCGUCACACCAUGGGAGUGGGUUGCAAAAGAAGUAGGUAGCUUAACCUUCGGGAGGGCGCUUACCACUUUGUGAUUCAUGACUGGGGUGAAGUCGUAACAAGGUAACCGUAGGGGAACCUGCGGUUGGAUCACCUCCUUACCUUAAAGAAGC